rnacentral:rRNA from 1 species
UACGUAGGGUGCAAGCGUUGUCCGGAAUUAUUGGGCGUAAAGAGCUUGUAGGCGGUUUGUCGCGUCUGCUGUGAAAUUUCGGGGCUCAACCCCGAACUUGCAGUGGGUACGGGCAGACUAGAGUGUGGUAGGGGAGACUGGAAUUCCUGGUGUAGCGGUGAAAUGCGCAGAUAUCAGGAGGAACACCGAUGGCGAAGGCAGGUCUCUGGGCCAUAACUGACACUGAGGGACGAAAGCUAGGGGAGCGAAUGGG